rnacentral:rRNA from 1 species
AGAGAGAGACAUGCGCGCAUAUCAAUAAGCGGAGGAAAAGAAACUAACUAAGGAUUCCCUCAGUAACGGCGAGUGAAGCGGGAAGAGCUCAAAUUUGAAAUCUUCAAGGUUCUACCUUGACGAAUUGUAGUUUAAAGAAGUGUUUUCUGUUGGAGUUUUGGUAAAAGUUCUUUGGAAUAGGACAUCAUAGAGGGUGAGAAUCCCGUAUUUGACCAUUACUUUCCAACUUUGUGAUACACUUUCAAAGAGUCGGAUUGUUUGGGAAUGCAGGUCCAAAAUGGGUGGUAAAUUUCAUCUAAAGCUAAAUAUUGGCGAGAGACCGAUAGCGAACAAGUACCGUGAGGGAAAGAUGAAAAGAACUUUGAAAAGAGAGUUAAACAGUACGUGAAAUUGUCAAAAGGGAAGCGUUUGACACCAGUGUUGUUUUCUCGAAAAUCAAUUAAAAAAGGCAGGAUUUUGUGUUGUAUUGACUUUAUCAGCUUUCUGCACUCUUUUCUUGUCUUUUUUAAUGCACUUUUCGUUUAACAAGUCAACAUCAAUUUCUUUUGUUGUAAAAGGGUCAUUGGAAGGUGGCUUUCUUUUCGGAGAAAGUGUUUAUAGCCUUUGGCCUCUGCAAUCGGAGAGAUUGAGGUCUGCAGCGUAGAUCCUUCGGGGUUAGAUACAUUUGUGCUAAGUUAUAGCCUUUCAUAGACAACUUGUUGACUAUGAUCAGUCAUGUAGCUUACUCGCUUAUGCUAUUUUACCUACGCUUAGGAUGUUGAUGUGAUACUGCGAGC